rnacentral:rRNA from 1 species
CAAAGGAAUAGACGGGGACCCGCACAAGCGGUGGAGCAUGUGGUUUAAUUCGAAGAUACGCGAAGAACCUUACCUGGGCUUGAUAUCCUAAGAACCUUAUAGAGAUAUGAGGGUGCUAGCUUGCUAGAACUUAGAGACAGGUGCUGCACGGCUGUCGUCAGCUCGUGUCGUGAGAUGUUGGGUUAAGUCCCGCAACGAGCGCAACCCACGUAUUUAGUUGCUAACGGUUCGGCCGAGCACUCUAAAUAGACUGCCUUCGUAAGGAGGAGGAAGGUGUGGACGACGUCAAGUCAUCAUGGCCCUUAUGCCCAGGGCGACACACGUGCUACAAUGGCAUAUACAAUGAGACGCAAUACCGCGAGGUGGAGCAAAUCUAUAAAAUAUGUCCCAGUUCGGAUUGUUCUCUGCAACUCGAGAGCAUGAAGCCGGAAUCGCUAGUAAUCGUAGAUCAGCCAUGCUACGGUGAAUACGUUCCCGGGUCUUGUACUCACCGCCCGUCACACCAUGGGAGUUGAUUUCACUCGAAGCCGGAAUACUAAACUAGUUACCGUCCACAGUGGAAUCAGCGACUGGGGUGAAGUCGUAACAAGGUAACCGUAGGAGAACCUGCGGUUGGAUCACCUCCUUUCUA